AAAAAAAGGAGGAUCAUAGUGGGGUUACUGAGAUAAUAGAGUAAUAUUAGUAAACAGCAGGUUCUGGUCUUAAGUAUUUCUGUAAAUAGUAUUUACUCGUGAUAGCCAACAUCUUAAGUGGACAGCUGAGAACAUGAAAAGCAAUACUGAUCUGUAGCUAGGGUAGAUGACCAAACUCAGGAGACUGGAAGCACCUCCAGAACUUCCACAUAGUCUUAAGAUUUACUAUGAGUUUACCGAAUUGUUUCAAAACUUGUAAGCGUAGCUUUUGUAGCCUAUAUGUUACAGUGUCUGGGAGCUGGAAGAGCACGGAGGGUGGGGAGAGGUACAAGGCAGGAGCAGGGGGCACCCACCCCGGUGCCAGCCAGGCCCACACCAACAGAACACAGCCCUGUGGGGCCUGGGCUAGGUGUGCAGAGCCCCCAAGACAGACUCCCUGGAAGGCUGAGGGGUGGAUCAGGCCGGAGGGCUUUCCAAGGAACCCAGACAGGGCCAGCAGGGGACAGGGAUGGACACAGGCACCCCUACGGCACACCUUGGUGGGGACGAAAACUGAAAUUGUGUUCCUGGGCCACACGGAGGUACUGGAGAGAGGCCUGGUGGUGCUGGGCUGGCUGCAGACCGCCUCUAUGCUAUGGAGAAACAGGAAUAUGUAUUUCAAGAUAGACGACACUCUCUGAUUCCAUAAAAUGUUUCAAAGGCAGGCAUAUGAAAUUUAGCUGCUUCUGAAUCCUUUCUCCCACGCUGAAAGAAUCCACAAUACAUACCUGAAGAGCUAGUAACCACUUUCCUCAUUGUUUUCCUGACCUGAGUGGGUUUUUUUUUUGUUUGUUUGCUUUGAUAACCACCCAAAUCCUCAAAAAUUUUGUACUGUAUUGCU
rnacentral:lncRNA from 1 species